GAAUCUGCUUUUCUGCAGCAGUAAAUUGAAGGUGCUGGUAGAAGGGCCCCCAAGACCCACCCUCUAUUUUGUGGCUCUUUUUAAAUACAAAGUGCUAUGCUUUUUUUUUUUCUUUAGUUGUUUCUGAAACAUAAGGACCAGCCAUUAUUUAUAGCUACACACCAGGUGAACUUACUGUGCCCACUGAACCUCCCCGGUGUGGGGGUGACAAAGGAUCUCAGAGUUGAAGGCCUUCCUGCAGCGGGGAAACAGGACAGAAAGGGCCCGCCCCACGCAGCCCGGCCCGCUGGCCCCAUCACUCUCUGAAUGAGGGUGUGCGGCAGGCACCCGGCCGGCGGCCAAGGAGGGCUGGGGAGGCUCUCUCCACGCUUUUCAACACAGCAGGGCCGAGCGUCCUGCAAGGAGGAAGAGGCGGUGGGGGUCCAGGACAGGACUGGGGGCUCACGGGACGCUGCACGGAGCAGGGGCUCUGACGCCGGUAAGUGGGACGGAGCGGCCCCGCCGGCCGCAUCACGCUGGGCCCUGUGCUGGCCGGCCGUGGACGGAUCGUGGACACUGGCCCCAGGCCACACCCUGCCUGGAAGAUCACCCCAAGCUGGCAGGUUCAGGCUCUGAGGACUCCAUGCUGGGGAGGCCGCUGCAUGGCAGGUGGCAGCCUGGCAGAGGGAGGGGUCUGCGGAGCUCAGAGGGAGGCGGCAGAGACGGGGACAGAGACAGGGACAGAAGGAUGGCAGGAGGAGGAAGGAGGCAGAGACUGAGGAAAGGAAUGGGGUGCUUCCCAGGCCCAGCCACACACAGGCCUGUCUCCUGCUAGGCUCCAGGGAACCCUCUCCCUUACACCAGUUUCUAGCUGGGCUGUCUGGGGAGACCGCUCUGUUGGGGACAGGUUUUUACUGAUAUGGUAAAUGCCCACGAACUUUAUGCGAAAAGGUUAGAAAAACUUACCUGCUAGCGAAAGAAAGAGACCCGUAGACUGUGAGGCUGUCUGGGAAGGGGAGGGGUUUCUGGAAGGCGGUCAGUCCUUGCUGGCGGCAAGGAUAGCUGAUCCCACCCAGCCCCUCCUUACCAAAACCACACUGAGGGUCCGCUACCUGCGCAUUACCGCACACCAUGGUUUCUUACAUUGGUUUCAUACUGGCCUUAAUCCAAGGGUCAGGCAAGUCCCCCCUUACCCCAAGCCUGUGUUUUGCCCGGAGAGGUGGUGACAGCAUAUCCAAGUAUGCUUUUUGAAGGAGAGGGACCAAUAAACACAGCCUCCCGGGUUUCCUGCACUCCCUGUUUACAUGCAGCUCCCCCAGCCCCACCAGCUGGAGCCCCCGGUUCUGCGGUGCUGACACCCUGAGGACGCGAUACUCAUGGCCCAGCAUGUGCUCCACAGGACACUGCUGGGAGACUCAGCCAGAUGCCCCCAGAGCAGGCAGGUGCCUCUCAGUGUGAGCGCACCCUGCCCUAGCAGCCACUCUUCUGGGGAGCCACAGCCCCACCUUGGGUGUCCAUCACUAGGGCUGUGUGAUGAACCUCGUAGGCUCAGAUGGGGGUGGAGCAAAGAUGAACUGACAUCACCCACUGAAAGCAGGUAAUAACCUGAGAUUUAACAAUAGGCAAGGCCCUGGGGAUGCCUCUGGAGCAAGAGGCUUAGUGUUAAAGACAGACACUGGCACAGGGGCUCUUGGCUGGCCACUGCCGCUGCUUUGGCAAAGCCACAAGGUGUUUCUGUCUCAAUGAAUCACGAAAGGUUGCUCCCUGUGGUUGGCAGGAUAAUGCCCCCUGAAGUCAUCCACGUCCUGAUUUCUGGAACCUGUGAAUAUCUUAGGUAACGUGGUAAAAGAGAAUAGACAACACAGAUGGACUUAAGGUUGCCAAUCAGAUGACCUGAGGAACGGAGCCUGGUGAGGGCCCUUCAGAGGGCAGGGGGAGCAGGAGAAUCCAAGAAAGGCGUGCUGGGAGCAGGCUGGGGGGCACUGCUGCAGGCUCUGGAGGCCCGUGGGUGGGGAGUGUGGCCAACAGCUGGCUGACACGUCGAUUUUAACCCAGGGAGGCCUGCAUCCUGGACUACAGAACCGUGAGAUGACGCGUGCUGCUUGAAGGUGUCAAAAUUGUGAAAAUACGUUAACGCAGGAGGACAAAGCUCAUACAGCCCUCCGCACACACACACCCGCUUUGGGACUGGGUCGUUGAGGCGGAGAGGGAUGCAGCCACAGAAGAAAACUGCUUCUCGGACAUAAUACCUGUUUGUUCAAAAUUCAACAUCCCUGACGCUACAUGCUGCGGUUCUGAUGACUGUAUCUGAGAUAGAACUCAGAAUCUACACUUUCAGUGAGACUCCUCGGCGCUUCUGGUACAGGUGGCCAUCAGCCACACCGGGACCUUUGGGGAGCAACAGGGACGCAGUCAUCGAUCAGGCUGAGACCGCAGCUUACUCCGGGACUGAGGUGCGCAAGUGGAGGUGCACGGGGCACAGCGCCGGACCACGCUCCUUAGGACAUCGCGAGGAACAGCGUUAGCGGCUCGCCAGGGGUCUGACUUGUGCCCUGCCCAUCAUGCACAUUGGCAGAGGGUUUGCAGCCAGCUGAUGGUUCAAAGGCAAAGAGCAGCCACUCAAGUGUUGUCCUGCUUUCACAGGCAUGGGAAUUAUUUUCCAGCAUGUGAACUGGCUCCAGCUCCGGGCUGCUCUCCCACCCCGAGGUGCCUCCCCUACGCCUUUACCUAUGUCGGUGUCCAGCACCUCCUCGCCCUAGAAGGCCAUUUCUGUCCUUAUCUCCAAGAAGCAUGGCUGACUCAGAGAGUAUCUCAGGCCCCCAUCACCCCUGCAAGGGGCAGGCAAGCCCUGACCCAUCCUGGGCUUUGUCUGUCAGCAUACAGCCAUCACUGCCCUCUGGGGUGAGGCCUUGGGGGAGUCUGGCAUCUCGAGUUCCUACCAGCUGGACCCCACACAGGGGCCUCUAACACUGGCUGAAGCAGUGAGAGGGCAGGGGCCACAUGCUACCAUCACUCCUUUCUCGCAGGACAAACACCCAUGGCUUGGAAGGCUGGCUGCACCCCCCUCUUGUUUCAAGAGCAGCUAUGAGGCAAAGGCACAUGUGCACAGGAAGAAAGAUUCACCAUGUCAGCUCUGCAAAUAAGGGUUGAAAAACAAAAGGCUGGGACCCGGAAAUCACAGGAGGUGACCACGUGCGGUCGGGUGGGCGUGCACUGCAUUCAGUGGGCUUCAGUAGGGGAUCCUACAGAUGGAGCAAAUUCCCAUGGGGGGAGGAAAAGAGGAUUUUGCAAUACUGUCCUAAAAAUGUGCACUCUUACAUAAAUACACAAUGUCAACACCAGCCCUGAAGAGCAACCACACCUCGGUGCUUCGGUCCCCAACCUUCACCCUGACUGUCAUGUAUCAGUUCACAGCAGCCAUGGCAUCAGCCAGGAGCAGGCUUUAACAAAGCUGUGACAGCAAACCCAGGGGCAGUCACAGAAUCAAUUUUUCUUUCAUUAAUAAUAUCCCAAUCUGUAUGAUUCAUAUGGUAUAGUCAACACACACAACUACCAAUAAAAUCACUGAACAAAAAUGCCACCUGCCGAGCAAAAAGAACAAGAUGAAUAAGUGACUUGACACAGCUAAAUGAGCAGGAGACACUCUGUCUCCCCCAAACGAUGUCCAAAAUGCUUGACAUAUCACCAUUAUUGGGACAAGGGGCUAAGGAAGGCAGAGACAAGCAUUCCAGCCUGCUCCAUGGAAGGAUGAGCUCCAGGGUAUCUGUGACUCUGGCAGGUCACCACAGGACACUUCCCCGAAUCCCAGACAGGGAUUGCUGGCUGCUCAUCGGGUACCCUCCUCACCCUGCCCUCCUUCCUGGGCAGCCCCAGGCCCCAGGGCAAAACAUUCAGGCCACAGUGGUGCCACCGUCAGACCAGGUCCUUGUCUUCCUCCAAGCCUCAUUGAUUUUUGGCCAGAAGUGAAGGCGGGACUGUUCCCGAAGGCACCAGAGACUGCAGGAGCGGAGCCUCGGCGGGGCUGGCCAGCCCCUGCAUGGACAGUGGCCCAGGGCUGGCACAGUGUCAGGGGCUGGGGUGAAGGUCACACCUGGGACCUGGGUACAGAGCAGCCCUGGACCCAGAAGGCAGAGCAGCCAUGGUGGAGGGCGCCCUGACCAACCGUACUUUCUAUGGUGACAGGAACAUUCUAGAACUACAAUGUCCAGGGCAGCAGCCACCCAUGGGCCACAUGUGAACGGAGCCCCUGAAAUGUGGCCAUGGUGAUUCAGGAAUGAAAUUGCCUACUUCAUUCCAUUUUAAUGAAUGUAAAUCUAAAGAGCCCUGUGUGUCUGGUGGCCACUGCUUCCAACAGGGCCUGGGAGGCAUCCCACACCAGGAAUAAAGGCAGUGUGGGUCCCUCUGCCCUUUCCUGGCUGUGUGACCUUGGGUGACACAUGUCACCUCUGUAUUUCUUUGUCUGAGGCACGGGGCAUUGGAUUAGCAGAUCCCUGGGUCCACUUUCUGCAUCCUCACUUAAAUAUCUGAGCCACCUGCUCUGUUCAUAUUUGCCAUCUUUCCAAAAUCUUAGCUGGCUCUACACUGCUUACCAAACAUGGCUUCUGGGUGUGACUGGAGACCUUCACAGCCUGCACCCCUGCAUCUGCCACAGGAUGCUGGUCACACCUCCCGUGGCCCUGUGGUUCCCCGUUACUCUCACCCAAUCCCGGAGGAGACCUGCUCGGUGGCAGGGAUGGGCUCCAGGGGCUCCUCAGACCCACUCGGUGGGGGCUGCAGCUCUGGCUUAUCUAUCCCUCCUUAUUGUUUAUGUGCAGGGAUGUUGCGCUGUCAUGGCAACAGCAGGGCAGCGCAGCUCCCACUUGGGGCUGGCAGGCAGCAAGGGGAGACAGAGGCCUGGGAGUUCCGUCCCUGCCACUGAGCCAUGGUGUGGCCUCGGGAGGCCCUGAGCGCCUCCAGCUUUGAGGCCCUGACCUGAACAUGACGACGGCGACUCCCCGCCGCAGGUCGGUGGGAGCCUGACCCAAGCCAUUGCAUAGGCCGUGCGAGCCUCCCUCUCACCCCCGGGGACAGGCCACUCCUCCACUCGCACCGGCUCCCAGCAAAUGGUGAGAAUCUGAUGCCAGUUAUGGGGCAACAUCUCAAGUGGCUUUAUCUCCACCUCCCUUACUUAACCGGCCCCAAGUUCUGUAGAAUAAAAUUGUAAAAUGGUAAGGAUGCCUCCCUGCUCUCCCACUUCUGUUCUGGAUUAUCUCUGCCCAGUCCCCUUUGUUGAGUUUUCUCAUCUUCUUCGUUGUAAAAAAAGGAGGUGGAGGGGGAAGAACGGAAGCAAGAUGGAGAAGGUGCUCUGGAGUCGUUUGUGUCCCACCGACUAUAAGGGGCAAUAAAACCGGGGGCAGUGGGAUGCCUGUGACUCCUGACCCCUUCUCCCAGGCCCCAGGCUCAGGACUGAGGUUUGUCUCCAUCCUGACAGAACAGCAGGGCCACAGUGAAGGCUGAGAAAUGGGGGGACCAGAGGCCAGCACCCCAUAGCCUUUGACUCCCUGCCCUUUAUUUCUGUGCUAAGAUCUAUAGGCAGCUCCAUCAGUAAGUUGACAGAAUUCUCUACCUUCAGGGACCACAUUUAUCACCAGUUGUGUUGUUUCGUCACUGCAGUGAUGACUUCUGCUUUCUCGGUCGUCGUCGCGACAAGCCACCUUGCAGACACGGUGCUGACAGAAGCCGGGUGAACGGGGAGGGCCACAUCUCGGGGCCCCACAGAACGGGUGUCACUGCUGUGCCCUGCGGCCGGCAGGGUGCUGCCCAGGCCCCUCCCCAGUCCCUUCUCCUCACUCCUCCUGCCCCUCCCAUUUGCCCAGCACCAUUCAGUAGAAACCCAUCACCAGCCACAUGCAUGAGGUUAAAUUUUCUCAUAGAGACAUUUAAAGAAUAGGUGGAAUCGAUUUUAAUAUUACGUGCUUUCAAUGUAAUAGAUCCAAAAUAGUAUCAUCUCAACAUGCAAUAAAAAAAAUUAUGUCUUUGGAUUACUUACAGCAUAUUUCACAUGAUUGUUUUUUCAUACUAAGGUUUUGAAAACCAGUGUAGAUUUUACACUCUACAGCACAUCUCAGUUUGGACUGGCCACCUUUCAAGUGCCCAGAAGCCGUAGUAGGCAGCUCUAGUCCAUUCGGAUGUUGUGAGCUGAAUGUCUGUGUUCCCCCAAGUUCAUAUGUGGAAGCCCCGACCCCUGGCGUGAUGGCCUCUUGAUGUGGGGCCUCUGGGGUGUGACCCUAGAGGUCGUGAGGGUCGGUUUAGUGUCCACGAGGACUAGUGUCCUUAUAAGAAGGGCUCUGUCUCUCUCCCGGCCUCACUCGUCCUGCCACAGGAGGCCACAAAGAGGACAUGGCCAGCCACAAGUCAGGAAGAGCGUCCACACCAGAACCAGCCUCCCUGGCAUCCUGAUCCCAGGCUUCCUGCCUCCAGACUGGGAGAGAGAAGCACCUGUUCAGUGAGCUGCCCCAUCUGCGGCGCUCUGCGCUGCUCGGCCACCUGAGCUGACUGCGAGUUUCCGCAGACAAAAGCCCCUGAAAGGUCAGGCAAGCCUGAACUGUCCCAGAGGGCCAGGCGGGGGCAGGGGUGAUGGGGCGGGGGCCUCUGCACAUCCUCACCAUGUAUCUCGGUGCUCCACGCCAGUUACUGCACUUGGCCAUGUGUGCAGAGAGUUAAAUGUCCAGUUUCUAAAUUCACGAGGCUUCCCUGUUCAGUGGGGGCGACAGGAUAGUAAGACUCCUCUAUGUCGUGCUUCACUACUGAACCCACUGCAUAUUUGGGGAAAAGGGACAGAAGACCCACAACCAAUACAUGUGUAACUGAGGGGGGAAAAUGGUGCGGGGCUAGGGGGCCUCCAGGUGGAAGUGGGAUUAUCUGGGGACCAGGCAGGAGGAACCCACAACUUCUACUACCUACUGUUGGAGAUCUAAGAGGUUAUACUUGUCAUCGUCAAAAGGCCACCGACCAACACAAACAACAACGGUGUCCGUGGCAAGGGCCACGAUGGCAUUCGAUGUGGCAUCUAAUGUGACUCCCCCUCUUCCCAUGGUUUCCAGCUGUCCCUGGGCCACAUACUAAUUUUUUCCAUAUAUUUUCAGAUGCUAUCUUUUCCAACUGAUCAAACAUAAAGGAAUUAAAGGAAAAAGUGGAGAUGCAAGACCUGGGAACCAUUAAAAAAUUAAUUGCUCAGAUUUAUCUAAGUGACAAAAAAGUCCCAAACUUUCUCAAGGUCAGGAUUUUAAGUGUUUGAAAAGGGAGACCUGGAGAAGUUAGAA